GACGAACCGAGCGAACGUUGUUCGGAAUCACUGGGCGUAAAGGGUGCGUAGGCGGGUCUUUAAGUCAGGGGUGAAAUCCUGGAGCUCAACUCCAGAACUGCCUUUGAUACUGAGGAUCUCGAGUCCGGGAGAGGUGAGUGGAACUCCGAGUGUAGAGGUGAAAUUCGUAGAUAUUCGGAAGAACACCAGUGGCGAAGGCGGCUCACUGGCCCGGUACUGACGCUGAGGCGCGAAAGCGUGGGGAGCAAACAGG
rnacentral:rRNA from 1 species